GACGAACGCUGGCGGCGUGCUUAACACAUGCAAGUCGAACGGAAAGGCCCUGCUUUUGUGGGGUGCUCGAGUGGCGAACGGGUGAGUAACACGUGAGUAACCUGCCCUUGACUUUGGGAUAACUUCAGGAAACUGGGGCUAAUACCGGAUAGGAGCUCCUGCUGCAUGGUGGGGGUUGGAAAGUUUCGGCGGUUGGGGAUGGACUCGCGGCUUAUCAGCUUGUUGGUGGGGUAGUGGCUUACCAAGGCUUUGACGGGUAGCCGGCCUGAGAGGGUGACCGGCCACAGUGGGACGGGGAAAGGGCCCAGACCCCUAGGGGGGGCAGCAGGGGGGAAUUUGGCAAAAGGGGCGGAAGCCGGAUGCAGCAACGCCGGGUGGGGGAUGACGGCCUUCGGGUUGUAAACCGCUUUCGCCUGUGACGAAGCGGGGGUGACGGUAAUGGGAAAAGAAGCACCGGCUAACUACGG
rnacentral:rRNA from 1 species